rnacentral:lncRNA from 10 species
GUUUUGGAUGGCAGGGUGUUCUUAGGAAUCAGGAAGGUGGGCUCCCAAGCACAGGAGGAAUGGAUCUGGCCAGCAGGAAGGAUGGCUAAUGUUCUGAGACCCAGUAGGUAAGAAUGAGGAUAGACUACAAGGUCAGAGGACAGAAGCAUGAAGGCAUUUCCAAGAGUGCAUCUGUAAAUCUGAAGAGGGCUGAAGUGGGGAAGGCAAUCUGAAAAAAGCGAGGGAAAAAACAAAACAAAACAUUUCACUGAUAUGUGUGACCCUUUUCACCUAGCAGUGAAGGAAACUCAUGUUGACUGAACACCUCCCCUGGGAUGUGUGGGACCUGGGAUGAGAACUUUCACAUAGCUGCUGUGUUCAUGUCCAUCACCACCCUGUGAGGUGGAUCCCAGCAAGAUGACUUCUACCCUACAAAGAGGUUGAGAAUCCUGUUUCAAAUGCUGGAUGGAUCCCUGUGAAUCUGUCACUUUAAGAAGGGAGACUGCCCAGUGAAAGCAGUGGAAAGAAAAAGAGCGUUAAAAGAUGAGGACACUGAAGCACCGAGAAGGAAACAGAAGAUUCAGGACAAAGCCAGCUCUGUCUCCUGUACCAACCUUGCAUGAAAAACAACCAAGGAAAUCUUGCUUUGAGCAGAAACGAUUUGCGAGUCAAUACAUAUGUACUGGGAGGAAAGAUGAACUGAGAUGACUCUACCUAAAAGACAGAAUGCCAAGGAACAACUUAAGGAUAUCCUGCAAAACUUAUUAUCAAUACUUAUUUAGAAAAAGUCCCGACUAGGUGUCCUUAUAGAGGUUCAAAUGUGAGUAGGACACAUGCACGGCCAGGGAGGCCUGGAUUAUAGGUGGCCACCAAUUCCAGCCUACACUGCCAGGUGACUCUUGAAUCCUUCCCUGAAGAUGUUUCUAACAGGAGGGAAAUCCAUUUGUCCCCUAUCAAAGAGCAAUGAUGACCAGGCAGGUGGCUGGUCCUUCCUGAGGCUCUGUUAAUGUGGGGUCCGUUUUGACAAACUCAUAUUCACAUCAAUAGAGGGCAGGUCCCCAAAGAGGACAGUGGCUCCAGCUCUCUGUGGCCCACUGACAGCUCCUCUUUGGGUUUUGGAGGCCCCCUGUAUGUUUACUGCAAUCCUGACAGACUUCUGCCCAGGGAACUUCCUCUUUCUUUUAGUGAUUUUGCUGUUAUUGUUGUUUUUAAUUGCAAAAAUAAUAUGCAGUUAUUAAAACAAAUUCAAAUAACACAGAAAUAUAAGUAAAA